rnacentral:lncRNA from 1 species
AUGUUAUAUGCCAAUUGUAUCUCAUUAAAUCUGGAAAAAAUAAGUCACCCAGAAGAAAAAGAAAAAUACACAUACAUACUCAUUUCUGAAAAAGACAUCAUCAUAAAUUUGGAAGUCUUGAGUAAACAGCCUACUUCACGAAAGAUCCAGGAUGGCCAAGAAAACAUAAGUGACACUACUUAUGGUUUUAAGAAAGGCAAUCUCAAGGCUAGUAUUCAUCCAUUUAGCUUGCCAGCUAAGGACAAGGAACUUUGCAAGUGUACUCACAUUACAUUCCCAGGGAUUCUAUAUUUCUUGAGUUUCAGGCAGGAUGGCUGAUGAGAAAAAUACAUACAAUCAUAAAACUGCUGUACCCCUAAAGUCUUAUCACUAUUUAUAUGCUUGAAAGUCAGCUACUAAUAUUUAUCACGUUAUCAUAUUUUCUGCAACAGAGGUAGAUAUUUGAAUUUUUUCCAGUUAGUUCCAUAUAUCUAUGAAUGAGCAUCACUUAUUGUAGAUAGCAACCAUCCAUUUGCUUUUCCCUAGCUAAAGAAGAUGCAAGCCAUUCAUCUUGUUCUCCAAUCCCUUCCCACAGUUUAAAAUGCAAUCAACUACUCUCUCUACUCCCCAAGAUGAGACCCUGUCUCAAAGUCACUGAACUAUUGCCUCAACAAGCCCCUGAUAACUUUUGUGGUGAAGGAAGGGUGGGGAGAGCUAGUUGAUGCUGACAGAAGGGCACCAAGAUGGGAGUUGCCUGCAUUCCUUUCCUCCUUGAGUUACCCAUGUAAAUUCUCCAUGCAUGAGUCAACUGGAGAGCACAGAAUAUGGCCGAGACUUCGGUCCCUUGCUAUCACUCCCCACGAAGCUCCUCUAGAUAAGGAUCUCCCGACAACAAAAGGCUAUAUGUUAGACUACCCCUGGCAGGGACUGAUGGGGAUGUCCCAGGAGAAAGAGUUGAGACUGACCCCUGCUACAUUAGAGAGUGCAAGGGGAGGCCCCAGAAAGCAAGGAUGUUCCCAGUCCAAGUAAGAGAGCUGGCAUCUGGACUCCUGACACAUUGGGAGAACUGUUGCUAAAGUAGCAAAACCAGAAGAAAAUGAGGAGACAACUCUUCAUAGACAGUCUUGCAGAGAACAUUCUUUCUCCCUUCUCCUCAUCCCUACUUAGCUGGAGCAAGAGCUAAGGUGAAAAACCUAAAGAUGCAAGUGAGUGCAAGAAUUAUUUAGGGGGUAAAAGAGAUAGGAUUUGUUGAGAGCAUAAAGCUCAGAUUUCUGACUUGAGCAAUUACUGGCUGGUGGUACCACCAGUCACUGAAGGAGGGAACAUAGAGAAGAAACAGGCUUUAUUUCUGGAGAGCAGGGUUCAGUUCAGUUCAGUUCAGUUCAGUUGCUCAGUCGUGUCUGACUCNNNNNNNNNNNNNNNAUCGCAGCACACCAGGCCUCCCUGUCCAUCACCAACUGCCGGAGUUCACAGGGUAGGGGACAGGUAUUUUUGAGUUCACUUUUGGACAUACUCAACUUGAGAUGCCCAUGAGGCUCAAUAGACAUUUGGAUAUAUACAUCCGGAACUCUGAAGACAGGGCUGGGCUGAAGAUAAACAUAUGGGAUUCACCACCAUAAAAAGUAUCAUUAAAGCAUUGGAAAUGGUUGAGAUUGUGUAGGCAGAGUAUGCAAAGGUCAUGAGGAACUCGAUGAUUUAAGGAGUAACUUAGAGGACUUACUAAGUAAAUCAGCUAAGGAGAAUGAAAAGAAGUCAUAACAGAGGUGUGAGUCACAGAAACCCAGAAAAGAAGUUAAACUAAAUGUUUAAUAGCAUUUGGUGAAGAUAAAAAAACUUAAUGAAUCCCUUCACAAGGAUGAUUUCAAAUAUACCACCAGAACAUCUGAAAUCUGUUGGCCACCGACCUGUGGGUUUUUCGAUGCAGUGGACCCCACAGCAGCACUGACAUCACCUGGGAUCGCGUUAAAAAUGAACUUGGGUGGCCCCACCUCACACCUACUAAAUCAGAAAGUCUGGGGUGGGGUCCAGGCGUCUGUUUUAACAAGCCUCGUGGGUGAUUCUGAUCCUCACUAAGGUUUGAGAAUCGCUGCUCUAGAAGGUGCUUAGAUAGCACCUGAUAGCCAUUCCUUUAGGAACCAAUCCCCUUUUUGAUAAACUCAUUUUCCUUUGGAUCUGUUAAUAACAUGUUGCCAAAUUGCUAGAGCCUGAGCAGCAAGAUUGGGUCAAUACUCCACAUUUAUUGUACCACAAUUCCUAUCCUAUACCAACUACUGACCACUUCUCCAUCCACUGGGUUCUUUUUUGCUCCUCAUUACAUCUAACUAUUCACAACUCUCUGCUCCUUCGCUGCUUCUCUUUGUGCAUUUUUUCCCAAUCUCUGAUCCUGCUAUCAACUGAACAAAUCUCUAAAUGUCAGUUUAAAUUCCUGAGNNNNNNNNNNNNNNNNNNNNNNNNNNNNNNNNNNNNNNNNNNNNNNNNNNNNNNNNNNNNNNNNNNNNNNNNNNNNNNNNNNNNNNNNNNNNNNNNNNNUAUCAACUGAACAAAUCUCUAAAUGUCAGUUUAAAUUCCUGAGUGACAUAGAUUGUUGGUGAAACCCGCAAAUUGGUACAACUUAGUUAUUCUGCCUCACUUAUCAAAACAACAGCAACAGGGAAGUGAUCCUAUAGAGGGGCCUGCAUGUGUGCACAAAGAAGGGGGCCUUUCUCCCCCUACUCAACCAAAGGCCAGCUCACCCACCUUCAGUCAAUCCCCCCCACCUAACCGCACUCUGCCAGUCCAAGCCUGGGUCCCAUACUCAAAGGGCUUCUCCGGGUGAGUCCGUUGAAGCCCUUAAUAGUGGUUAGAAAAGCCUAUUCACACCUCACUUCACACUGGAGUCAGUUGGAAGCAGCGGGGAAAGC